rnacentral:lncRNA from 1 species
GGCUGAGCUCCAAGUCCAGGCAGGCUGAGCCCAGAGCCCUCGCUUUGAAGCUGUUUUAUAUGACUCCUUAGCAGGAAGCUACUCAGGGCGGACUGACUCAAGAGCAUUGUUUCCUAGAACUCCUGAGUCCAAGAGCUGGGGGAAUGCUGGAAACAAGGAGAAGGAAGGCAGAGAAUGCUUGUGGAGGCAGCAAGGAAUAAAUAGAUGGAAGAAUAUUGGAAGGUGUCAUAAGAGGGAUAAGGAAACAAUCGCACCUCUGUCUCGCCCCAUCCCCUCUCCAGCUUGGGAGCAGAUCCACACCACUACAGCUGUGAUUUGGAAGG